CCUACGGGAGGCUGCAGUGGGGAAUAUUUGACAAUGGGGGGAACCCUGAUCCAGCGACGCCGCGUGAGUGAAGAAGUAUUUCGGUAUGUAAAGCUCUAUCAGCAGGGCAGAAAAUGACGGUACCUGACUAAGAAGCCACGGCUAACUACGUGACAGCAGCCGCGGUAAUACGUAGGGGGCAAGCGUUAUCCGGAUUUACUGGGUGGAAAGGGAGCGUAGACGGUGCAGCAAGUCUGAUGUGAAAGGUCGGGGCCCAACCCCGGGACUGCAUUGGAAACUGUUGAACUGGAGUACAGGAGAGGUAAGCGGAAUUCCUAGUGUAGCGGUGAAAUGCGUAGAUAUUAGGAGGAACACCAGUGGCGAAGGCGGCUUACUAAACUGCCACUGACAUUGAUGCUCGAAAGUGUGGGUAUCAAACAGGAUUAGAUACCCCGGUAGUC
rnacentral:rRNA from 1 species